GAUUACCUUAGUAACGGCGAGUGAAGCGGUAACAGCUCAAAUUUGAAAUCUGGGUCUUUUAGGCUCCGAGUUGUAAUUUGUAGAAGAUGCUUUGGGUGCGGCCCCGGUCUAAGUUCCUUGGAACAGGACGUCAUAGAGGGUGAGAAUCCCGUAUGUGAUCGGUGGCUUGCGCCCGUGUAAAGCUCUUUCGACGAGUCGGGUUGUUUGGGAAUGCAGCUCUAAAUGGGUGGUAAAUUUCAUCUAAAGCUAAAUAUUGGCCAGAGACCGAUAGCGCACAAGUAGAGUGAUCGAAAGAUGAAAAGCACUUUGGAAAGAGAGUUAAACAGUACGUGAAAUUGUUGAAAGGGAAGCGCUUGCAACCAGACUUGCGCGGGGUUGAUCAUCCGGGGUUCUCCCCGGUGCACUCGGCCUCGCUCAGGCCAGCAUCGGUUUUGGUGGUUGGAUAAAGGCCUUGGGAAUGUGACUUCUUUCGGGGAGUGUUAUAGCCCUCGGUGCAAUGCAGCCUACCGGGACCGAGGACCGCGCUUCGGCUAGGAUGCUGGCGUAAUGGUUGUAAGCGACCCGUCUUGAAACACGGACCAAGGAGUCUAACAUCUAUGCGAGUGUUUGGGUGUCAAACCCAUACGCGUAAUGAAAGUGAACGGAGGUGAGAACCCUUAAGGGUGCAUCAUCGACCGAUCCUGAUGUCUUCGGAUGGAUUUGAGUAAGAGCAUAGCUGUUGGGACCCGAAAGAUGGUGAACUAUGCCUGAAUAGGGUGAAGCCAGAGGAAACUCUGGUGGAGGCUCGCAGCGGUUCUGACGUGCAAAUCGAUCGUCAAAUUUGGG
rnacentral:rRNA from 1 species